UACGUAGGGGGCAAGCGUUGUCCGGAAUGAUUGGGCGUAAAAGGCGCGUAGGCGGCCUUUUAAGUCUGAAGUGAAAGUCCUGUUUUUAAGAUGGGAAUUGCUUUGGAUACUGGAAGGCUUGAGUGCAGGAGAGGUAAGUGGAAUUCCCAGUGUAGCGGUGAAAUGCGUAGAGAUUGGGAGGAACACCAGUGGCGAAGGCGACUUACUGGACUGUAACUGACGCUGAGGCGCGAAGGUGCGGGUAUCGAAC
rnacentral:rRNA from 1 species